rnacentral:rRNA from 1 species
CACGUAGGGCGCGAGCGUUGUCCGGAAUUAUUGGGCGUAAAGAGCUCGUAGGCGGCCUGUUGCGUCCGCUGUGAAAGCCCGGGGCUUAACCCCGGGUCGGCAGUGGAUACGGGCAGGCUAGAGGUAGGUAGGGGAGAAUGGAAUUCCCGGUGAAGCAGUGAAAUGCGCAGAGAUCGGGAAGAACACCAGUGGCGAAGGCGCUCUACUAGGCCGUGACUGACACUGAGAGACGAUAGCUAGGGGAGCGAAUAGG